AUUGAACGCUGGCGGCAGGCCUAACACAUGCAAGUCGAACGGUAGCACAGAGAGCUUGCUCUCGGGUGACGAGUGGCGGACGGGUGAGUAACGUCUGGGAAACUGCCCGAUGGAGGGGGAUAACUACUGGAAACGGUAGCUAAUACCGCAUAACGUCGCAAGACCAAAGUGGGGGACCUUCGGGCCUCACACCAUCGGAUGUGCCCAGAUGGGAUUAGCUAGUAGGUGGGGUAAUGGCUCACCUAGGCGACGAUCCCUAGCUGGUCUGAGAGGAUGACCAGCCACACUGGAACUGAGGCACGGUCCAGACUCCUACGGGAGGCAGCAGUGGGGAAUAUUGCACAAUAGGCGCAAGCCUGAUGCAGCCAUGCCGCGUGUAUGAAGAAGGCCUUCGGGUUGUAAAGUACUUUCAGCGGGGAGGAAGGCGGUGGAGUUAAUAACUUCACCGAUUGACGUUACCCGCAGAAGAAGCACCGGCUAACUCCGUGCCAGCCGCCGCCGUAA
rnacentral:rRNA from 1 species